rnacentral:rRNA from 1 species
UACGUAGGGGGCAAGCGUUGUCCGGAUUUAUUGGGCGUAAAGAGCGUGUAGGCGGCCAUACAGGUCCGUUGUGAAAACUCGAGGCUCAACCUCGAGACGUCGACGGAAACCGUCUGGCUAGAGUCCGGAAGAGGAGUGUGGAAUUCCUGGUGUAGCGGUGAAAUGCGCAGAUAUCAGGAAGAACACCUAUGGCGAAGGCAGCACUCUGGGACGGUACUGACGCUGAGACGCGAAAGCGUGGGGAGCGAACAGG